rnacentral:rRNA from 1 species
GCACCUGGACUGCGCCUUCUGAAUCCGAUGCCGGCGGCGAACGCGUGCACUUCUCCCCUAGUAGGACGUCGCGACCCGUUGGGCGCCGGUCUACGGCCGACGGUGGAGCCUUGGGGGCGCCAUUUAUUUGGUACUUGCCUUCAAGACCCGUCGUGUCCCGGCCGGCCCGCUCGACGGUAAGACAAAGACGUGGGGUCGCGAUUAAGUUCGCGUCCGGCCCGUCACAAGUGCGAGCGACUGCUCGGACGUCGGACCUGUGUGCCGACCUCGAGCUCGCGCGGCUGUUGGUGACGGUGUCCUCGGACAGACUUCGAACACGUCGGUCGGCGACGCUUUAGCUUUGGGUACUUUCAGGACCCGUCUUGAAACACGGACCAAGGAGUCUAGCAUGUGCGCGAGUCGUUGGGACCGCAUCUAAACCUAAAGGCGAAAUGAAAGUGAAGGCCGCCUUGCGCGUGCCGAGGGAGGAUGGGUCGGCCAAUCGUGCCGCUACCUCGCACUCCCGGGGCGUCUCGUUCUCAUCGCGAGAUAAGGCGCACCCAGAGCGUACACGCUACGACCCGAAAGAU